rnacentral:rRNA from 3 species
UACCCGCGCCCCAAGUGGUGGUCGAUAUUAUUGAGCCUAAAACGUCCGUAGCCGGUCUUCUAAAUCCUUGGGUAAAUCGGGCAGCUUAACUGUCCGAAGUCCGGGGAGACUGGGAGACUUGGGACCGGGAGAGGUCAGAGGUACUUCUGGGGUAGGGGUAAAAUCCUGUAAUCCUGGAAGGACCACCGGUGGCGAAGGCGUCUGACUAGAACGGAUCCGACGGUGAGGGACGAAGCCCUGGGGCGCAAACGGGAUUAGAUACCCCGGUAGUCCAGGGUGUAAACGCUGCGGGCUUGGUGUUGGGGGUCCUUAGUGGGCGCCCAGUGCCGGAGAGAAGUUGUUAAGCCUGCUGCUUGGGGAGUAUGUCCGCAAGGAUGAA